CUAAGGGUAGAAAGGGACUCUAAGGGCCAGGCCAAAUACUUCUAAAAAUGAAAGUAACCACUUGCAAAUCAGUAAGCCUUGCUUUUGAAAGAAUGAUACACUGUGUUUCCUUGGGGGCAGAUAAGGAAGAGUCAUAACCUAAGUGUUGUCAGUUCAAUAUUCCAUAAACACUAAUGAGAACCAAGGUGGUCUGUAAAGAGAGAACAGAUUAUUUGAAAUUGAAUAGAUGAACAAAGGAAGGAUCAUUGUCUAGAAAGAAACUGGUUUUCCUGUAAAACUAAUACUGUGAUUAUUAAAGGUAAAAACAUAACAAAUCAAA
rnacentral:lncRNA from 1 species